rnacentral:rRNA from 1 species
AUUGAACGCUGGCGGCAGGCCUAACACAUGCAAGUCGAGCGGAUGAAGGGAGCUUGCUCCUUGUUUCAGCGGCGGACGGGUGAGUAAUGCCUAGGAAUCUGCCUGGUAGUGGGGGAUAACGUCCGGACACGGGCGCUAAUACCGCAUACGUCCUGAGGGAGAACGGGUGGGAUCUUCGGACCUCACGCUAUCAGAUGAGCCUAGGUCGGAUUAGCUAGUUGGUGGGGUAAAGGCCUACCAAGGCGACGAUCCGUAGCUGGUCUGAGAGGAUGAUCAGUCACACUGGAACUGAGACACGGUCCAGACUCCUACGGGAGGCAGCAGUGGGGAAUAUUGGACAAUGGGCGAAAGCCUGAUCCAGCCAUGCCGCGUGUGUGAAGAAGGUCUUCGGAUUGUAAAGCACUUUAAGUUGGGAAGAAGGGCAGUAAGUUAAUACCUUGCUGUUUUGACGUUACCAACAGAAUAAGCACCGGCUAACUUCGUG